GCAGGUGGCAAGCGUUGUCCGGAAUUAUUGGGCGUAAAGCGCGCGCAGGCGGUUCUUUAAGUCUGAUGUGAAAGCCCACGGCUCAACCGUGGAGGGUCAUUGGAAACUGGAGAACUUGAGUACAGAAGAGGAAAGCGGAAUUCCACGUGUAGCGGUGAAAUGCGUAGAGAUGUGGAGGAACACCAGUGGCGAAGGCGGCUUUCUGGUCUGUAACUGACGCUGAGGCGCGAAAGCGUGGGGAGCAAACAGGAUUAGAUACCCUGGUAGUCCACGCCGUAAACGAUGAGUGCUAAGUGUUAGGGGGGUUUCCGCCCCCCUUAGUGCUGCAGCUAACGCAUUAAGCACUCCGCCUGGGAGUACGGCCGCAAGGCUG
rnacentral:rRNA from 1 species